UGUACACUGAUACGUGACGCGUUGUCCUGGGAGCUUACUGUGACGGCGUUGUCUGUUGUCUGUUGACGUACACGUCAUUUCGUUACUAUCGAGACGAGAAAAUGGAAGCAAAUAUGAAACUACAUUCUUUGAUUGUGUUACUCUGUGUACUGUUACCAUACAGUAGUGGUAGGCCUAGGCCGCUUUGCUAUCCCGGCUGUGACGUCAGUGAACAAGUACUCAAGUGCUCCAGCCUUAAAGUUCAACAUCUGGAAUACCUGAAUCCAUGCAAAGCAGUAAUAAUUGACCUAAGAAACCUCCAGUUAGAAUGUACAUGUGACUUUGUGGAAUUUGCUGAAAGAAUCCGUGGCACCAAGGGAGUUGUACUCUUUCACAAUGUAGACUGCACCUCGGAAAUCAUUGACAUAUGUUGUAAGAUAAACAUAUAUAUAUAUAUAUACUGUCGAUCCUGAAAUUAAUACGUCCCUAAAUUAAGGCAAGUGAUGAUCGGCAGACUAAAAUGCGACAUUAAAUUAAUCAGAGUGGCCUCCCUUUGAAAUAUUACUUUCCUUAUGCAAGUUGGGCAAUUUAACAUGGGUUUCAAUGGCAGAUGAUAUCUGUGUAGUGAGACCUAACAACACACAUCUGUGUACUUUUCGGUUAAAUCAGAGUUACAGGUGUCUUCAA